UUUGAAUGAUGAGGAACCUGAUAGGGACAACAGAUUCUCGAAUGUGACGAGAAACAUCUUUAUAGCCCAGUUUUUAGUAGAGCUUAGGGCGCCUUUACUGACU
rnacentral:snoRNA from 1 species